rnacentral:misc_RNA from 1 species
UGUGGGAGCGAGCUUGCUCGCGAUAGCGGUUUGUCAGUCGAAUCUAUGUUGCCUGACCCACCGCUAUCGCGAGCAAGCUCGCUCCCACA